UGUACGUUAAUUGAGCUAUCAUGUAAUCCUUCUAAUUUAAAUAUCUGAAUGAUUUAACAAAUGUUUGUAUAAGGGGUGUAAUCAAAGUACCUUCUAUGGAGAUGUUGCUCUCAUGCUGGGAGUAGGGCUGGGGUUCAAAUUCCCGUUAGUUUGUGUCUGGCUGUUAAGUCCUUGAUGCGGUGUGAUGGAGCAUGUCUGACUAAUUUUUGUUCAGGUGCGAUUUCCAAACACAAACGCAAUCGGUUGCCCAGAUUUGAGUGGGAUCACGCCUACGUCCUGUUCAUUGUACCAAAUUUAUCUUUGUGUGGGGAUCAAUCGCUCACAUAAUUGCCAUCAAUCAGUGAAAAGAUUCAAUAUCAUGCGCUUACAUGAAAUGAUGCUUAGAAUAUUUCACCUAUGGCUAUCACCUAUGGCAGAUGGCCUCACAAAUUUUAUCUAAAUUAUGGUACAUGGAAGUUGAACUUAUAGCCAAUUGAAACCAUCAAACAUUUUAAAAAUUCACUCGAACUAGACUGAUACAACGAGCAAAUGACACCGAAAGUAGACCAGGCGCUGUCCGAACCUCACAGCCGCUCCCCUGACUCCUAAUGUUACUGGAAUCUGACAGUCUGCAAUUCAGUGAGCGUUACCGCAGUAGUCCCCUCAGUUCUCGUUCAUUGAAGAUGCACCCUGCUAGUUGACACAAUGAGGCAUUUCAAUCCCUACUUUAGUUAAGUACUGUUUGCCAUGUUUGACUUGAGUAACGCACCCGUUUCAUAAUUCAGGGUUCAACUUUGACACACAGUAUCCCACCUCUCUCGGAUUUUUGACCAAUAUUGGGGAUAAGUGUAAGGAUUUCCUAGGUAGCCCGCACCGUUUGACGGACUAGUGACCAUGUUAAUGAUUCACCCCUUCAGCGACCAGCGAUUUGCCAUUACGUUCUCCGAUGUGAAUAUGAUUCUUCAGAUGAAUGGAAUCGGACGUUGCCAUUUGGUAAUUGGUAGAUUUGACCUGACUCGAAUUAUCAUUUCUUCCCAGUCAGGAUGACCAAACGGCGUGCCGGAUUGAUCGCGUCGGGGGCACAACUGAGAGCUGUGUAAAUCGCCACGCUUCUCCGGUCGGCGGUGGUAUCAGCUGCAUCCAUGGCUCAGGAUGACCAAACGGCGUGCCGGAUUGAUCGCGUCGGGGGCACAACUGAGAGCUGUGUAAAUCGCCACGCUUCUCCGGUCGGCGGUGGUAUCAGCUGCAUCCAUGGCGGCUGGAAACUAAAGCUUGGUAUACCGGACGCUAGGUGGCGAGCGCGUGCUUAGCUUGUCUGCGUGGUGGCACUGACAACGGAACGCACCGGCCGACGUUAGAGAUGUAGGUGGCGUUGGCAGCGUGUCGUUCUGACCAGGGGUCACACCGCAAGUGGAAUUGACGCUUGUGCAUGCCAAAGUGGCCCUUCCCUUUCGUGCUGGUGGGAUGGGUUUUGCAGUAAGCCAGGAAUGUAAGGCUUCGCGCGGAACCGUGAAAGAUUACCGAAAACCCGAGCUAACCGCAUCGAACUGAGGUCCAAUUAUGAACGUUACUGAGUUCGUUGCACGAACCCCUUUGUCGUUGUUGAAUAAUUUUAAGGUCGUGCAGCGCGUUCAGGGGUCUGGGAAGGCGAUACUUAAACUUGAUAAGACAAACACGAUUUAGAAUGCUGAUUACUACGGAGUGGGAAACCCCCUUAUCAGUUGUCCUGUAACCUAUUCUUGUUAGAGAAAUCCUGUAUUAACACGUAUUGAACGGUUUGUAAUACGUAUUGAACGGUUCGAUUGGGACGAUUUCAAGAAACAAAAAGUUCUUACUCAGAUUUUGGGCUUCUGAAAUCUUUCUACACCAACUCUAGGCACACCACCAAUGGACCACUGGCAUACGAAGUAAUUGUGACCUCUUUGCGUUCCUCGAGGUAACGUAAGGCGUCUAUCAUGGGUAUGACAAAAUGCGUAAAAGUAAGCUAUGACUGGUUUGGGUUCUCAAUGCAAGGAUAAAUGUAACCGGUCGCUGAAGAUAUCCUUGCCCAGGGAUCAAGCGCUGAUUUACAGGAAUUUACAUGAUGAUAUGCCAUGAGCUGCGCCUCUUGUUUCACCUUACUUUAAAGGUUGGUUUUAUUGACUCCUUGAGACAUUUCAUUAAUAGACGGCAUUAUAUUAGGCAUCAAGUUACUACUGGCGGCGAUCUGACGUUAAAUUUCAAUUCAAGUCUGGGGUGCGUGGGUUCGUCACAUCUUUAUGAACGCUGAUGGUAAUUAGGCGGAACAAGGCACGAUUUGGUAGGCUGACGGUUGGUGAGGCGGAUAAAAAAAGGGAGAACACUUUAAGGAAUUCCGCAUAAACAUAUAACAUUGCGUGCAGGUGACUGGAAUUAGCACCAAAUGACAGUUCAUUUCGUGAAAAUCUGGACGACAUUAAUCUUCUCUGCUUUCGGUGUGCCGGAUUGACUGCGAAAUGAGGUGUUGCUGACUCAAUUCUGUGUUAUACGCCCAGACAGGCGCUCAUAGCUCCGUCGUGGUGACAGUUGACCCCCUGGCCCGACCGACCGCUCCGCUGCGUGUGGUACUCAACCUCGGUCGCUGUGUGUGCAGUGCGGGGUGUCAUAUUUCCACCAUGUGACUACUGAUCGUAAGUGGAUGGUUCUGGCAUCAAUGACCUCCUUGAUACUCGUCUCGCAACGCAAUACAGCUACCCAUUCCCUUUCCCAGACAGGUUGUUUAAUUUUUCACGCUUUAUUUUACACUACACGGACAAUUUAUGACAA